AUUGAACGCUGGCGGAAUGCUUUACACAUGCAAGUCGAACGGCAGCACGGACUUCGGUCUGGUGGCGAGUGGCGAACGGGUGAGUAAUGUAUCGGAACGUGCCCAGUCGUGGGGGAUAACGUAGUGAAAAUUACGCUAAUACCGCAUACGAUCUAUGGAUGAAAGCGGGGGAUCGCAAGAACUCGCGCGAUUGGAGCGGUCGAUAGCAGAUUAGGUAGUUGGUGGGGUAAAGGCCCACCAAGCCAACGAUCUGUAGCUGGUCUGAGAGGACGGCCAGCCACACUGGAACUGAGACACGAUCCAGACUCCUACGGGAGGCAGCAGUGGGGAAUUUUGGACAAUGGGCGAAAGCCUGAUCCAGCCAUUCCGCGUGCAGGAUGAAGGCCCUCGGGUUGUAAACUGCUUUUGUACAGAACGAAAAGGUUUCUACUAAUACUAGGAGCUCAUGACGGUACUGUAAGAAUAAGCACCGGCUAACUACGUGCCAGCCGCCGCCGUAA
rnacentral:rRNA from 1 species